GACAGCACAGUUUGAAGAGCAUGAGACACUGAAUCUCAAGGUUGUGGGUUCGAGCCCCACAUUGGGCA